rnacentral:lncRNA from 1 species
GUGUGGCAUCUCUCUGAACCCCCUCGACCGUCUGAGCUUCCGGACUUCUCCGACAAGGAGCCUCUCCAUCCAUCUAUCGGGCCGCUCCACAGGCUCUCUAGGCCUCACUAUCAGCCGACCUUCUACAGUGAUCAACUAUUCUCCGAACUUCUUUCGGACUUCAUCAAUAUUCAAGCUUCUCCCACGAUGAGAUUUCUACAGUAAUCA